rnacentral:tRNA from 3 species
GGAGGAUUCGCCUAGAGGCCUAUGGCGCUCGCUUGGAAAGCGGGUUGGGUGUGAAAGCCCUCACGAGUUCGAAUCUCGUAUCCUCCGCCA